UUACGGUCCCCCCGCAACGAUAGGAAGUGAACUCCGCCAGGCCUGGAAGGGAGCAACGGUAACUUUUGAUUCGUGUGCCGGGGUGUGGCUGUUUGGG
rnacentral:SRP_RNA from 1 species